CAGACUGAAGUGACCUCACCUUCUCGCUUAGGUGGCCUGCUCCCCCUCACCGGAGAGCUCUACAAAGUUACAUCACUUUGUGUGAGUCGUCGUGGCUCCCUCUCUUCUUCUUGUGUAACACAUCUGAAGAGAUCACUGCACUAAUCAAAUCGAGAGGCGAAAGAGACUCGUUUCGGGCGACGUCCGCCUGUCGAUUUAAAACUCUUCAGAAAUCGACUUUGUCUCCUUCCUCUGGGAAUGUCCUCUGGACAUCCUGCAUUGGUAGAACUGGGAUUGUCUUCUCAGACUUCCGCCCAAUGUCUCAAAGCAUCUCCUUGAGUACCACUCUGGCUCCUCCAGGGGUCUCUUCGUUGCUUUGUGGCUUGUGCUGCACACUUCACUGUGCUUCCUGUCAAUCUUCCGUCUUAUAUCACUGGACCCAUUUCGGACAGGCAUCUCUCCCUGUCUGGACAGUCCCCUCCAGUCCGAUAUAGUCAUUUGAUCUUCCUUCCCCUCAGCAUCUCUUUGUUUCCUUUGGAAAUUCUCAAGAUUCCUCCCUUAACUGCAAUGUCUGGCCAAUCCCAUUGAAUCUGCAUUCCGAUAGAAAUCAAAUUCUCCGUAGUUUCUGGGAACAUGCCUUACCCGGUCAACGUUACAGACUCCCGUCUGCCAUGCGGAACCGGACUGGUCCUUUGCCAACAACUUUGUUCGUCGUGUUGUUCGCCAUCCGUACAAGUCCCUCGCAUGCUGCGAUGUAGAGAACAUCUUCCUGUUUCAUACAAAAAUGGUAGGCACUUCUUGAAUCCAAUAACCAAGUCUGGUUCAUCUGCCGAGAUACUAGGAAUGCCAUCAUUAUCUGAAUCUGUCAUCACUGAUGCCGAUGCGAUGAUGUCUCUGAAGACUGGAAUCUGUGAUUGAUUACUUUGGGCAAUUCUCUUCUAUGCCCUUCUUGGUCACAGAAAAAACAAUUAAAAAUACACACCCUUGAAUGGACCUCGGCCGUCCUCUCCAUUAUUCCCUGGUGACCUCGACCUCUCCUGCUUCCGUUGAGAUAGGGCCCUGCGACUCACUUCGCUCUGUUCAUGCCCAUUUCGUUCUCCGUGCUGAUUGAAUAGGGCAUCCUUGAACGUACCUCAAAGUCAACUUACCAAUCUGCGCGGAAUUACUUGAGGAGAAACCACUACCAAUGUCUCCCAACUUUCUGGUAUAAAGAGCUCAGAAGCAGUAGAGCCUGAUUUCAUCGUCAAAAAUGGAGGUCUAUACUGGCCCAACUGGUGACCAAAUUCUGUAACUCGCUCGUUGUUCCGCCACAGUCCUUCUGUAGUUCAAAUUUACAAGGCAUUAUCAUAAAUAAGGCCUAUUCCGAGGAUGUCUCGUUGAUACAUUCUUCUCCAAUUUGGUCCAUAGGAUCGUAAGCACUCGUCUCUUGUGAUACGUGUGUGGAACACCUCGUGUCAAUGCCACUGCUGAUCAGCACAAUCGUUUUCCGGUUCAUUUCGUCCCACUCCUCAUCCUUCUCUUUUGCCGGUUUUUUCGCUUUAUCUCUAAGGAUCAGCAAACUUGCAGAAUAGGAUGUCUUCCAUCCUCGUUUUCCAUAGAGUAAUUUGUAGAUGAAAGCAUAAUCAUAGCUCCCAAAUUAGACUCCGCCAUAUUACUUCUCUAUACUAGAACGGUAAAAUCUUCGAAAACCGACCCCGCGAAUAGAUCCGGAACGCUGAAAGAACCAGAAAAACUAGAUAGGCUUUUCCGUCGAAAUCAGACUCUUCUGGGACCAAAUACUUCAAAUUGAACUUUCUAGGGACCUAAAUUGAAAUUUUCAAUUUCCAGGGACCUAAUUGCAAUUUCCAAAACUCCAGGGGCUACAUUGCAAUUUCUCAAACUUCAUCAUGGACCAAAUUAAAAUAUCACAGAAAUUCCAGGGACUAAAGGUAAAAUUUUAACUUUUGGUCAACGUCAACAGUUGACCGGUCCCAACGACUGGUCAACGGCCGGUCCAACGCCGGUCAACGGCUCGUCAAACAGGAAUAUUCUUGGAAUAUUCCCUGGCUGAUGCAAUGAUGACGCAGUGCUUUACACAGGCAAGAAUAUUCUGGGAAUAUUCCUUGCUGAUGCAUGAUGAUGCAUGCUGACACAAGCGCACAUUAUCGUCCCUCAGCAAUCCGCGUGCGGGCGCGUGAGUUGCGCGCCUGAGAGUAGAUCUCCACGCGCGCGUCUUCAGGCGAGCGUGAGAGAGCGUCCGCGUCCGUUUUUUGACGGGCGGUUUGGUGUCUGGAGCUUCGUAUCGGAGAGACGAAGGUGAUGGUAGCUCAAUCAGUUUUGAGCAAUUUCGAAUUUGCUCAGAAUUCGAAGAUGUAUUCGGGGGCGUUCAUUGGGGCAGCGUGGGGGGGUGGGCCGUUACUCUCCGGUGACUCGAACCUUGGCUCUGAUACCAAUUGUUGUGCCCAAAACGAGUUACCAAUCACUCCACCAACAUACCACACACACAAGACAAGAUUUAACGUGGUUCGGCCAACAAUGUCCC
rnacentral:lncRNA from 1 species